rnacentral:rRNA from 1 species
GACGAACGCUGGCGGCGUGCUUAACACAUGCAAGUCGAACGGAAAGGCCCCUUUGGGGGUACUCGAGUGGCGAACGGGUGAGUAACACGUGAGUAACCUGCCCUUGACUUCGGGAUAACUUCAGGAAACUGGGGCUAAUACCGGAUAGGAAUCCUUGCUGCAUGGUGGGGGUUGGAAAGCUUCGGCGGUUUUGGAUGGACUCGCGGCUUAUCAGCUUGUUGGUGGGGUAGUGGCUUACCAAGGCUUUGACGGGUAGCCGGCCUGAGAGGGCGACCGGCCACAUUGGGACUGAGAUACGGCCCAGACUCCUACGGGAGGCAGCGGUGGGGAAUAUUGCACAAUGGGCGGAAGCCUGAUGCAGCAACGCCGCGUGCAGGAUGACGGCCUUCGGGUUGUAAACCGCUUUCAGCAGGGGCGAAGCUUGUGGUGACGGUACCUGCAGAAGAAGCACCGGCUAACUACGUG